AAACCGUUGAAAGGGAAGCGAAUGGAGUUAGCAAUUCGCCCCGCCAGAUUCAGUCGCUCGCGCAUCGCGACGGUCGCGCUCUCGAUCCGCAUGGACGAGGCGCGCUCGGACGCGGUGCGCGGACGGCGCACUUCUGGCGAGCGAGCGUCAGCGUCGGUUGUCGACGGGCGAUAAGGUCGCAAGGAAGGUGGACCGGCCUCGCGGCUGGUUGUUAAGACUUGCGCUCGCAUAGCUCGUCGGCGACCGUGGUCUGCGGCGCGUGCUCGGCUGGCGACCCGACCGAUCGGUCCGGCAUGUCRACCGUGGCGGACGGCACGCCUGUGCGCUCGAACCGCUGCCUGUCGAUCGUGACGGUGUUCGCACACUACGCGCCUAGGAUGCUGACGACCAUACGGCUCCAUCCGACCCGUCUUGAAACACGGACCAAGGAGUCUAACAUGUGCGCGAGUCUCCGGGUGAUCGAAACCCGUGGGCGCAAUGAAAGUAAAGGCCGUCCUCGGACGGUUGAGGUGAGAAGCGGCGUUCACAUUCGUCGCCGCAUCAUCGACCGACCUUGUCUGCUCUCAGAGAGGUUUGAGUAAGAGCGUAUCUGUUGGGACCCGAAAGAUGGUGAACUAUGCCUGAAUAGGGUGAAGCCAGCGGAAACACUG
rnacentral:rRNA from 1 species